CCUGGCAUUCUGGGUUUCACACCCGCGGGGCUCGGUGCGGUGAGUAUUUCCAGGAAGUCUGUGAAGUUAGCAGCAGGGAGGGAGAAGGCAAUUGUGUCUUUUCUUUCUUCCUUUCUCUUCUUCCUUCCUUCCUUCCUUCCUUCUCCUUCCCUUCUGGUCGCUCUGACGGGGAGCUUGUGGGUGCAGAAGGUGUGAGUGGAAUUGUCUCCUGCUCCUCGGCCACCAGGGAUGUUUGCUCUCCGGUUCUGUUGCGGGGAAGCAGCACCGCAGGUGAGACAGGGCGACCCACGGAGGAAUGACACAGGUCCUUUCUCUGUUCAUUCUCUCUCUUUUCUCCCCCAAUUCCGAGAUGUGAGUCUGAGCGCAUCCUAGACUGUGCUGGAGGGUUCAAAAGACAACACCUUUAGGUACCAAGCAAUAACUUUUUAGAAAUCCACCAAGCCAGAAAGAAGGGAGGGGGCUGAAGGGAGAUUUGAGGGUAUCUCUUUUCCCCCCAAACCCUGAGGAGGAGGAUCCGCCUUGGCUUCCUUUGAAAUGGACCAAGUGAUCAGACUCCCCCAGGCCAGCAGGCACAGUGGCAGGAAAAUAAAUCAUUCUGAUGGCUGGGGAGAGGGGCUGGCGGGAGAGAAAACCCUGUGCAGAAAACAAGCAAGGCCGAGCGAGGCGCAGGGAGAGGAUUCCACCUCUGAGGCCGGCAUCAAAGGGGGUUUGGGCUGGAAAUUGAUAUAAAGUGCCCUCCGUCGCCGGCUAGCCCAGAGCACGGCCUUACAGAUAGAGAUGCAAUUUUGGAAAAUGUGAGGUUUUUCAGUUUUCUUGCUUUUAUUCCAAACAAAGCUCUGAAGGAAGUCUGGGUGCGAUCAAUCUUGCUCACCAAAAGCCUUGACAGCUUCUGGCCCUUAAGAACACAUUUCAGCUUCGAGCUCUUUCCAAGAUCAAAUGUGGCCCAGCAAAGAGGAGAGCAGGAAACGCAAGUAAACAAGGAAAACUAGUCUUUUAAAAAGAUAUUUUUUUGGCAGCGGAAGGAGUUCUAAGGCUGCUUUUAGGAAAGUGCUUUUCGGGCUCUGGGGUGGCAGCUUUUGGCAUUUGCUUUUUACCAGAAAAUACUGAGGACUUCGGGGGAGGGGGAGCUCCGAGAGGGAGUGGAGCUGCUCCCACAUCCCCAGGCUUUGUCAGGGGCUGCGUGGGUGAGAGGUUUCUGCUGCCUCAGCGGCCUUAAUUCAAACACCAUCUGGAGGAAAAGCCUUUUCUCUGGCCAUUCAACACAGGAAUCUUCUCCAAAUCUAUUACUUUACCUCAGGAGCUAUUUUAAUAAGGAUUUCUUUUUAAUAUCUAGGAAGAUCAGAGUGAGAUCGAUAUUUUUUCUUUGAAAGCCACAAUGGAAGUCUCUGGCAAGAGGUGGAAAAUCAUAUUGGAGGCUCAUUUAAAAAUCUCUGCCCUGGGGACAGGGGAAGCCUCCACACCAGUCCUCCCUCAGCUAGAGAGGAGGUUUUAGAAAUGGGUUCCAAUGAUGGUAUGUCCGAACACUGCUCCUCUCUGAGGAUCUCUCUUUCUCUCCCCCCCCCUCCUUCCCUCCCUCCCCCUCUCCUCUUCACACUGAUCCUUGCUUUCCCAGGUAAUUUUAAUUUUAUGCGCUUCUCUUAAAUUAUUACUUAAAAGAGGACUCCUGCAGCUGCUCAUCCUGCUUAGUUUAGAUAUGAACCACCAGAAGGGCGGAAGCCCCAGUCCUCACAAAGACUGCUUUUCCGGCCUCCAUGUUUCUGAGAUUUGUCACAUUUCAGCAGAGAGGUGGGCGUGAGGCCGAGUGCUAAUCCACUUCUUCCAUAAAUUCUUUAGAAAGAAGCCCAGGAUAGAUGUAGGAAAGCACCUCUGGCUGUGAGAGAAACGCCCAGAUCUUUGCAGCUGCCCAGGUUUGCAUCUUCCGAACCCUUUUUUCUUAAAAACCAUGAGAAGGUCUCCUCAAAGCGGCUCCUGCAGGCCUGCAGGUACCCAGCCAUGGCUCCAGCGCCUGUCUCCGCAGACCAUCUGAGGGAGCUUCUCAGGGGGAAGAGAGGCCAGAAGAUGGAUAUUUUGGAUUGCAAACAAAAUGGCGACAUUUCCCACCUCUGCCUCAGACACAUAGAAUCCAAGGAGAAGGGGGAUUUCUUUCUCACGGCAGAUGCUCCUGAGCCCCAGACGCAGGUGGUUCCUCGCUUCCAGCUCUGAGGUGGGAUGCAGAUGGGGAUGAUGUUCUGAGGUUUGCGCUUUCUGAAUCUGGUUCCAUCUCUGAGCAGUUCUUUAAUCUGAAGACGAAAACGCUUCCCUGUCCUGCGCCUGUCUCUGCCUCUGCCAGCCGGCCAGCAGGCAGCCCCGGAAUAGAAAUGGGUUGUUUAGCUCCUGUAGCAUCAAAUGGAAGAAGUACUUAAAAAUGCAUUUUUAUUAGAAAGAUAUUAAUCUCCUUUCUCUCUCCCCCUCCCCCCCAGGCCAUUAAAAAAAAAAGCGGGGAGGGAAGGAGGAGAGGAGAGGAAAUAAAUCCAGAGAAUGCCAAAUCCUAAAUUCCGAGAGGAAGCCGGUGCUGGGCUCUGGUAGUCCAGGGCAGGGCCCAGCCCCUCUGGUGAUGGAGACGUGGGCGAGCUCUCAGCCUCCUCCGAGCCGCCUCGCUCCCCGGGCAGAUUUAGAAGUGCUUCUGUCCUCCCUCCUCCGGAUAACGGGCCGUGAAGCAUCCGUGGAGAGACCGGCCGCCCCCCAAAGCGGUGGGCAUCCUCUGCGGUGGCGAUGUCCCAGGUUAAGGCGGUAGCUGGUCCGCUUUGUCGGAGGAUGGAGGGGUGGUCGUAGCCGGGAAGACAGCCCGCCUGGUCCAGGCGGCGCUGCCCACCUGUGCGCCCCCCGCUGCGCCGGGGCGGCCGCCUUUGUUCCUCCCGCACCGCUCUCCGCAGCCAGCCCGCCGGCGGCAGCUGGGAACCAGGCGCGCAGCGGGCUGGCCCAUCGCGUCUCCGCAGCCGCCGCCGAGGAUCGCCGCUCCCGGCCGGCCGGCCCGGCUGCAGGGAGGCCGGCUGCAGGGAGGCCCGGGCCUGCUCCGCCAGCCGCCUCCGCCUGGAACCCCGUCUUCGGCCAAAGAACCCCUUCCGAACGCGGAUAUUAUUCAGAAUAAAAACUUUAUUUAAUUUUUUUGUUCUGUUUCUCAGAGU